CCAGCAUUCAGUUGCGCACUCUAAGGUGACUSCCGGUGACAAACCGGAGGAAGGUGGGGAUGACGUCAAAUCAUCAUGCCCCUUAUGMCCUGGGCUACACACGUGCUMCAAUGGAUGGUACAAAGGGCUGCGAGACCGCGAGGUUAAGCGAAUCCCAUAAAACCAUUCUCAGUUCGGAYUCCAGGCUGCAACUCGCCUGCAUGAAGCCGGAAUCGCUAGUAAUCGCGGAUCAGCAUGCCSCGGUGAAUACGUUCCCGGSCCUUGUACACACCSCCCGUCACACCACGAGAGUUUGUAACACCCGAAGUCGGWGGGGYMACCUCUGGASCCCAGGCYCCCUUUUA
rnacentral:rRNA from 1 species